rnacentral:rRNA from 1 species
UUUAACAAUGUCUGAAAGGGUGACGAAGCGACGCCGCGUGGGUGAAGAAGGCCUUCGGGUUGUAAAACCCUGUCAGGAGUUAUGAAAUAUAAUCACGAUAAUAUCAGAGAGUAUUUGACAAAGGCUGCAAAGGAAUCCACGGCUAACUCAUUUCCAGCAGCCGCGGUAAUACAGAGGUGGCGAGCGUUGUUCGGAAUUAUUGGGCGUAAAGAGCAAGUAGGUGGGUUUGCAAGUCAGAUGUGAAAGCCUUCUGUUCAACGGAAGAAUUGCAUCUGAAACCCAGACUUUGAGUGUAGGAGGGGAGAAUGGAAAUUCUGGUGGAGCGGUGAACAGAGUAGAUAUCAGAAGGAACGCCGGCGGCGAAAGCGAAGCUCUGGCCUAUUACUGACACACAUUGUGCGAAAGGUCGGGGAGCAACCGGGAUUAGACACCCCGGUAGUCCUAGCCGUAAACGAGGGGCCCUAAGUAGCGGGGUUUU